UAGACUUCCUCUUUAUUUCUUUGUGUGAUUUUUAUGUAUGCUAAAGACCAAGGGCUUUUUCUCUCAUUUCUGAUCUGUCUUUUAUCGGUUAAAAUGCCCUUAAAAGGAAUUGAUUCGAGUCCGUCUUCGAACGAAACUCGCUGUAGUCCAAUAGGCGUGCAUUCGUGCUUCUUCAAGACAGCGACUGCAGGGCCUCUUCCUGUGGUUUGCACCAUGUGGCCUAAAAAGUGUUAAAAGGCGACAACUUCUUUCUCUUUUCGCUGUUGUUUCCGGGAUCAAGCAGGCGGAGAACUGGUUUAACAAAAAGCUGUAAAAUGAACAUUCGGAGCACAUGGAGAUAAGAGGAAGCGUGCAAAGAAAGGAUUGGAGCGCGAAGAGAAGAGGCGGGAACAUCAGUGCAGUCACUCAUAAAGUAGACAGCACUACUAAAGGUCUCUACACAGUGUAGUGUUUCCUACUUUAUGGAUGAGUGUACUGUUUGCUGCGAAGGAUGAUCUUAUGGAGAACCAAAUGAUGCUGGAUCUGAAUGCCUUGUUUAUUAAUUAUGAAUAAAGAUGGUGUUUCAAGACUGAUUGUAAUGCAAUAAUGUUUUUAAGUGCAUUUGUCUUUAUAUGUGCAUGUCAACUUUGAAUUCAUGAAACAGUAAUAAAAUGAAGCUGAACUGCGUAA